UUCACUCUAGCGAGACUGCCGUUGACAAAACGGAGGAAGGCGGGGACGACGUCAAAUCAUCAUGCCCCUUAUGUCCUGGGCUACACACGUAAUACAAUGGCGGUCAACAGAGGGAAGCAAAGCCGCGAGGCAGAGCAAAUCCCUAAAAGCCGUCUCAGUUCGGAUUGCAGGCUGCAACUCGCCUGCAUGAAGUUGGAAUUGCUAGUAAUCGCGGAUCAGCAUGCCGCGGUGAAUACGUUCCCGGGCCUUGUACACACCGCCCGUCACACCAUGAGAGUCGGGAACACCCGAAGUCCGUAGUCUAACCGCAAGGAGGGCGCGGCCGAAGGUGGGUCUGAUAAUUGGGGUGAAGUCGUAACAAGGUAACCGUAGA
rnacentral:rRNA from 1 species